rnacentral:lncRNA from 1 species
AUGCUGACCAAUGGGGGGUGCAGGCUUCCCUGGAGUGCAGGGUCAAAUGAAUGGGGUUCUAUGGUGUCAAUGGGGUUUGAUGGGUUGCAUGGGGUCCCAUGGGAGGUGCCAGGUCCCAUGGGGUGCUGGGUCCCAUGGAUGCUCAGUAGAUGGGUGCAGCAGGGCCAGAUGAUGCUAAAAUGGGGGGGGAGCUCCCUGCUGCUCCCUGCUGCACCCGACCCCUCCCGGGACUGCAUGUUGUGGGGCCCUUGUCCCCACUCUAAUGGGCUGCGGCCACACAAAGGGGACACGUCCAGGUGUGGAGGGGGUGGGGGGCCCAGGGGGGUGCCACCAGCCGGGGACACCCUCCAUAUGCCCUUUGUGCCCCUCCCAGGCAGGCACCUUCCACCCCUCUUUGCAUCCACCUCGUGCAUCCCCCCGCCCCCCCCACCUCCACCCCUCGGCCCUACAGCUGCCUCCUUUCUGUCCCCCCAUUUCAGAACCUGCCCCCCGCCCCCCCACACACUCAUUCCUCAUGCCUCAUUGUACAGAUGCUCUCCCCAUCCCUCACAAACGCGUUGCACCCCCACUGCAGACCAAUCGCAACCCCCUCUUUGCAGAUACUUUGCCCCCAACCCAGCAGACCCCCUGCAUGCCCCCCAUCCUGCAGCUGGAAAUGCCGCAGUGAGCAGCCACGGAGCAUCCUCCGGCCGCACCGGGUACCCCUCCCCGUGCACCCCCCACCUGAUAGCUGAGGAUGCCAUCGGGCUCCGUGCUGCCCGCGGGCAUGGCUGGGCUGGGGGGGGGCCGGGCUCCCCCCGGGGCUCGGGGCCAGGGGGGGCCGCAGCCGCUCUGCACCCCGAUCCGUUCACAUCGGCUCCACCAUCUCCAAAGCGGGGACAGACCCCGCCCAGGGCCGGGAGGGGGCGGGGGAAGGAGGCCGAGCCCGUUGGGGGGGGGGUGCACUGGGGGGCAACGCAGCUCGGCCCGGUCCACUGGCAGCCUCCUCUCCUUCCCCCGGGGUCCCCCCGCAUAGAUCCCCUUCGGCACGGCCCCGAUGCUCCCCGGCAUCGCCCCCCCGAGGCCCCCACCGUCAUCACCCCCUCAUGUUCCUGCCCCCAACAAUUCCCUUCCUGCCCCCCAGCCCUUUAG